rnacentral:rRNA from 1 species
UGAACGCUGGCGGCGUGCCUAACACAUGCAAGUCGAACGAGCGAGAGAUGAAACCUAGUGAUUCUCGAGCGAGUGGCGGACGGGUGAGUAACGCGUGGGUAACCUGCCUUACAGAGGGGGAGUAACAGUUUGAAAAGACUGCUAAUACCGCAUAAGCACACAGUACCGCAUGGUACAGGGUGAAAAGAUUUAUCACUGUAAGAUGGACCCGCGUCUGAUUAGCCAGUUGGCAGGGUAACGGCCUACCAAAGCGACGAUCAGUAGCCGACCUGAGAGGGUGAUCGGCCACAUUGGGACUGAGACACGGCCCAAACUCCUACGGGAGGCAGCAGUGGGGGAUAUUGCACAAUGGAGGAAACUCUGAUGCAGCCGACGCCGCGUGAGUGAAGAAGUAUUUCGGUAUGUAAAGCUCUAUCAGCAGGGAAGAUAAUGACAGUACCUGACCAAGAAGCCCCGGCUAACUACGUGCCAGCAGCGGC